rnacentral:rRNA from 1 species
GUAAAAAGUAGAAUAAUAGAUUUGAAAUAUUUAUUAUAUAGAUUUAAAGAGAUAAUCAUGGAGUAUAAAAAUUAAAUUUAAUAAAUUUAAUAUAACUAUUAAUAGAAUUAGGUUACUAAUAAAUUAAUAACAAUUAAUUUUAAAACCUAAAGGUAAACCUUUAUAUUAAUAAUGUUUUUUUUUUAUUUUUUAUAAUUAAGAAUAAUUAUUAAUAAUAAUAAACUAAGUGAACUGAAACAUCUAAGUAACUUAAGGAUAAUAAAUCAACAGAGAUAUUAUGAGUAUUGGUGAGAGAAAAUAAUAAAGGUCUAAUAAGUAUUAUGUGAAAAAAAUGUAAGAAAAUAGGAUAACAAAUUCUAAGACUAAAUACUAUUAAUAAGUAUAGUAAGUACCGUAAGGGAAAGUAUGAAAAUGAUUAUUUUAUAAGCAAUCAUGAAUAUAUUAUAUUAUAUUAAUGAUGUACCUUUUGUAUAAUGGGUCAGCAAGUAAUUAAUAUUAGUAAAACAAUAAGUUAUAAAUAAAUAGAAUAAUAUAUAUAUAUAAAAAAAUAUAUUAAAAUAUUUAAUUAAUAUUAAUUGACCCGAAAGCAAACGAUCUAACUAUGAUAAGAUGGAUAAACGAUCGAACAGGUUGAUGUUGCAAUAUCAUCUGAUUAAUUGUGGUUAGUAGUGAAAGACAAAUCUGGUUUGCAGAUAGCUGGUUUUCUAUGAAAUAUAUGUAAGUAUAGCCUUUAUAAAUAAUAAUUAUUAUAUAAUAUUAUAUAAAUAUUAUAUAAAGAAUGGUACAGCAAUUAAUAUAUAUUAGGGAACUAUUAAAGUUUUAUUAAUAAUAUUAAAUCUCGAAAUAUUUAAUUAUAUAUAAUAAAGAGUCAGAUUAUGUGCGAUAAGGUAAAUAAUCUAAAGGGAAACAGCCCAGAUUAAGAUAUAAAGUUCCUAAUAAAUAAUAAGUGAAAUAAAUAUUAAAAUAUUAUAAUAUAAUCAGUUAAUGGGUUUGACAAUAACCAUUUUUUAAUGAACAUGUAACAAUGCACUGAUUUAUAAUAAAUAAAAAAAAUAAUAUUUAAAAUCAAAUAUAUAUAUAUUUGUUAAUAGAUAAUAUACGGAUCUUAAUAAUAAGAAUUAUUUAAUUCCUAAUAUGGAAUAUUAUAUUUUUAUAAUAAUAAUAAAAAUAUAAAUACUGAAUAUCUAAAUAUUAUUAUUACUUUUUUUUUUAAUAAUAAUAAUAUGGUAAUAGAACAUUUAAUGAUAAUAUAUAUUAGUUAUUAAUUAAUAUAUGUAUUAAUUAAAUAGAGAAUGCUGACAUGAGUAACGAAAAAAAGGUAUAAACCUUUUCACCUAAAACAUAAGGUUUAACUAUAAAAGUACGGCCCCUAAUUAAAUUAUAUAAGAAUAUAAAUAUAUUUAAGAUGGGAUAAUCUAUAUUAAUAAAAAUUUAUCUUAAAAUAUAUAUAUUAUUAAUAAUUAUAUUAAUUAAUUAAUAAUAUAUAUAAUUAUAUUAUAUAUUAUAUUUUUAUAUAUAAUAUAUAUAAUAUAAACUAAUAAAGAUCAGGAAAUAAUUAAUGUAUACCGUAAUGUAGACCGACUCAGGUAUGUAAGUAGAGAAUAUGAAGGUGAAUUAGAUAAUUAAAGGGAAGGAACUCGGCAAAGAUAGCUCAUAAGUUAGUCAAUAAAGAGUAAUAAGAACAAAGUUGUACAACUGUUUACUAAAAACACCGCACUUUGCAGAAACGAUAAGUUUAAGUAUAAGGUGUGAACUCUGCUCCAUGCUUAAUAUAUAAAUAAAAUUAUUUAACGAUAAUUUUAUUAAAUUUAGGUAAAUAGCAGCCUUAUUAUGAGGGUUAUAAUGUAGCGAAAUUCCUUGGCCUAUAAUUGAGGUCCCGCAUGAAUGACGUAAUGAUACAACAACUGUCUCCCCUUUAAGCUAAGUGAAAUUGAAAUCGUAGUGAAGAUGCUAUGUACCUUCAGCAAGACGGAAAGACCCUAUGCAGCUUUACUGUAAUUAGAUAGAUCGAAUUAUUGUUUAUUAUAUUCAGCAUAUUAAGUAAUCCUAUUAUUAGGUAAUCGUUUAGAUAUUAAUGAGAUACUUAUUAUAAUAUAAUGAUAAUUCUAAUCUUAUAAAUAAUUAUUAUUAUUAUUAUUAUUAAUAAUAAUAAUAUGCUUUCAAGCAUAGUGAUAAAACAUAUUUAUAUGAUAAUCACUUUACUUAAUAGAUAUAAUUCUUAAGUAAUAUAUAAUAUAUAUUAUAUAUAUAUUAUAUAUAAUAUAAGAGACAAUCUCUAAUUGGUAGUUUUGAUGGGGCGUCAUUAUCAGCAAAAGUAUCUGAAUAAGUCCAUAAAUAAAUAUAUAAAAUUAUUGAAUAAAAAAAUAAUAUAUAUUAUAUAUAUUAAUUAUAAAUUGAAAUAUGUUUAUAUAAAUUUAUAUUUAUUGAAUAUAUUUUAGUAAUAGAUAAAAAUAUGUACAGUAAAAUUGUAAGGAAAACAAUAAUAACUUUCUCCUCUCUCGGUGGGGGUUCACACCUAUUUUUAAUAGGUGUGAACCCCUCUUCGGGGUUCCGGUUCCCUUUCGGGUCCCGGAACUUAAAUAAAAAUGGAAAGAAUUAAAUUAAUAUAAUGGUAUAACUGUGCGAUAAUUGUAACACAAACGAGUGAAACAAGUACGUAAGUAUGGCAUAAUGAACAAAUAACACUGAUUGUAAAGGUUAUUGAUAACGAAUAAAAGUUACGCUAGGGAUAA